AAGUCGUAACAAGGUUUCCGUAGGUGAACCUGCGGAAGGAUCAUUAUCAAUUAUAGGCGACUGCGCUUCGGCAACGUCACUAUACACCCUUUGUCUUUUGCGUACUGUAUGUUUCCUCGGUGGGCUCGCCCGCCGAUAGGACAUUUUAAACCCUUUGUAAUUGCAAUCAGCGUCAGAAAAUAACUAUAAUAGUUAUAA
rnacentral:misc_RNA from 1 species